CCUACGGGAGGCAGCAGUGGGGAAUAUUGCACAAUGGGGGAAACCCUGAUGCAGCGACGCCGCGUGAGUGAAGAAGUAAUUCGUUACGUAAAGCUCUAUCAGCAGGGAAGAAACACUGACCUUACGGUCAGCAGACGGUACCUGAGUAAGACGCCCCGGCUACCUACGUGCCAGCAGCCGCGGUAAUACGUAGGGGGCAAGCGUUAUCCGGAUUUACUGGGUGUAAAGGGAGCGUAGACGGUGCGCCAAGUCUGGGGUGAAAGGCCGCAGCUUAACUGCGGAACUGCUUUGGAAACUGGGGAACUAGAGUGCGGGAGGGGGAAGCGGAAUUCCUGGUGUAGGGGUGAAAUGCGUAGAUAUUAGGAGGAACACCGGUGGCGAAGGCGGCUUACUGGACCGUAACUGACGUUGAGGCGCGAAAGCGUGGGGAGCAAACAGGAUUAGAUACCCCUGUAGUC
rnacentral:rRNA from 1 species